GGAAAGAGCUGUUGGGUCUGAGCCGGCAGGCGAAGGCGAAAGGGUCUGGGACUACAAGGUUUAGCUCCCAGCCAGAGCAGGAAAGGAACGACUGACUGUUCGCCAUCUGGGUGUAAUUCUAACCUCUCUGCACGCCCAGCCCGACUCGUGGCCUGAGCCGCACUUGUCCUCCUGCCUCGCCCACUAGCAACAGGCUGCCAGGUCGGGAGGCCCCUGGUGCCCAUGGUGCUCUUGUCCAUGGGGCUUGGGUGCAUCUGGGCCCCGCCUGCAAGUGGGCCCGGUGCAUCUCCCUAGUUCAGGCUCUGCAGCCUGACAAGGCACUGAAAUAGCAAUUAAGCCAACUAAGUAUUGGCCCAGGUGGUUCACAAAAGACUUUUUUUUUUUCUUUUAGUUAAAUCUGCAUAAAGUUGGAUGCAGUCGUUUUAUCUGCAAAGGGGAGAGGAGUCUUUGUAUAAAAUCCAUAAAUAUGUUAAAUUUUAAUUUGCCGAUGUCCUUCAGACUAUCAUAGCCUCAUUACCUUUUAUUUUGUAUACCGAGAUCUAUGCUAAAAAGUUGUCAAAACAAAUACUUCACCUUCAAGUUAAGAUGUAAGGUUUUGUGCUGUUUCUGGCGAGCUGCUGAACUGGCAGGAAAGGAAUAAACCAGAAACAAUAAAUCAGAAGCAAUUUGCUUCUUCCCUCAUUUCAUGCUCUUCCUCCAGCAACCAGCGAAAGAGAUCCUCACAUAGAGGCCUUUUAUUUGAGAUCUUUUCACAUCCUGAAGGGAGAGAGCUGGAGAGGUUUGACCUGAGAGAGAAGUGAUUAUUUCCAAGCCUCAGGAAAAAAUGAAAUAAAAUCUGCUAAUAGCGUCCUA
ensembl:lncRNA ATP8A1-DT ATP8A1 divergent transcript